rnacentral:tRNA from 11 species
ACAGCAUUCAACUCUGUUAAACGAAAGGUUCGGUGGCGGUGUGUAUCAUCAAAGGUGUACGGAACA